rnacentral:lncRNA from 1 species
AGACACAUUACUUUUCUUAGAGUAGAACACGUUAGAGUUUGAGUGAUGGCAGUUUAGAGGAAAUCAGAAUAUUAGAAGUUUACCCUCAAGGAACAAGUGUAAAGAAUAUCCUACAGAAAAGGUGACAAAUAUAUGCCAUUUCCAUGUUCUCGUCACACACUAGACAGUACUACAGGAGUCAUCUUUCCUGUAGAACCAGUCUCACAGCCCUGCAAGCUUCCUCAUCUGGGAGUCCUUAUCCAUUGACCAGAGUUGGCCUGAGAAAGAAAAUCUGCUUGUUAUCUGUCUUACAAGAGAAAAAACAGAAUGAACAGUGAAUAAAUCUGUCUGGCCUGAAUGAGCCUCCCAAGGAUUCUCAAUCUAAGCCAUCCAAAAAGGAAUUUGUAAGAUUUUUUUAAAAAGCUAAAUAAAAACUAAGAAUAAUAAAUAAAGGACAUUAUUCACUGAAAAGUAUAAUCACUUUAAUAAAAUUAAUUUUUAAAAAAU